UGUUGCUUGCUUAUAAGCUCAUUUUUUUUAAUUUGGAUUAGGCAGUUGCUAUUUGGCUAAGUGUAUGUUAGUUAAACAUUGGUCUGUUUUCUUUGCCACUUAACUUGAUCUUUGAUUAAUCAUAUUUACACCCCUAUCAAUUAAGCAAACAUGUAUGUAUAUGUGUGUGUGUGCUAUUUGAGUAUGUUGAAGCCCAUGACAUGAUUUGUGUGACUAUGUGCUGGCUUUGGCUGUUCUGCCACAUUAAGUGUAGUAUGAAUAAAAGAUAAUAGUAAUUUUUUGAAUUUAAGACAUGUCCCAGUUCUGAGAGGAGGUUAUUGUUCUCAACUGAUUAGGAGUUUAAAAGUUCAAGUAUUUGCUUGGUCCUAGUAAGCAUGAAAAGGGGAGGGCUACAUAUGCUUACUUGUUAAAAUAUUAUUUGGAAAAUCUAAAUGCCAAGCUAGUAAAUUAAGAUAGCCUUCAUAUAUAACUGGUAUGUAUGACUGAUAAUGAAACAAUAACAAAAAUGGCUUUAAGACUUCUUGUCCUGGUUGGUCACUUAGUGUUGGCCAUUUGCCCACCAUCAUAAUAUCUAGAACUGAGUGUAGCAUCAUGAUGUCUGAUUUAGUUCUCUUUAAGAAAUCCCUUAAACUUGUUACAUCACUGAUGAAUCUUGUCAAAGUUUUCACAAAAUGAGGCUAAUAUCUUUACAUUAAGACAUAAAAAGGUGAUACAUCACAUUCUUUUGGUAUAAGAUGGUUAUCAGUGCCUCUUUUAAGUCUAAGUCCCUUUGUUGUUAUUUGAAAUAUCAAACUGUCAUGGUGAAAGUAAGAUUGGUUUUGCUAUACUUGCUGCAUACUGUCAGGUGUUAUAAAUUGUUGAGAUUAAAGAAAAGAAUAAGAAAUGUACUUGCUGGCUUCUGGUAAAAGACUACAAGAUAACUCAAACUUGGAAGUCAAUUUAUGUCCUUAUUUUGUCUAAACAAAGUUUAGUUUCUGAACUGGUUUACCUCAAGUGCCAUCUCAGAUGUCUUUCACCAAUUGGUUCAAUUGUCUAAAUGGUAAAAUAGUUAGCUGCUCGAACAGUUUAACUACCCAUUUUUUCAGUUUUAUCUCUGAAGAUUAAUGUUACAUCCCGUAUUUUUGAACGUCGAAUUAUUUGUAAGCUGAGGUGGGGCCCACACGUCAAGAUUUUUUUUUUUGGGACAUGUGACAAAUUAUAUGAAUCACAUAUGUGAAGUUAAACACAACUCAAGAAGGACCCUUGGGCCAAAUCAAAGUGGAAGUCCUCCAAACGAAUAUUUUUAAGAAAACGUUUUCGGGUGACCUGACUUUGGGGGGCAAAAACGGUAUUAUAUGUUUGGAAUUUGGAAAAAUACCAAGAAUUAGAAGUUGUAGAUAAUUGAAUUAUCUUUCCAACCAUAGGUCGUGGGUUCCCAGGUGACGUCGGUACAAGGAGAUAUGGACGUUUUAAGGUCGAAAGGUCAGUGGGCUAGGCCCAACUCGGGACCAACCGAGUUGGCCCAAAAAAAUGAAAAGAAAAAUUUAGGCCCAAGGUGAGAGGGUGGCCGGCCAUACCUGGUCCAAGCCCACCAAAUUAAUUAAUUUCCAUGUGGCAAAUUAAUUAUAAAGGGAUCAUUAUCCCUUAGAUGAUUCAAGAAACUUAGAAGGAGAAAGAACAAACAAAACAAGAGCAAAAAAAAGGGCCAUUUCGGGUUUGGCCAUAGAAAAUUCACCCCUCCAAAUCUUCCUCCAAAAAUUAUUUUCUUGUGGUAUUCCUACUAAUUUAAGGGUCCUUUACAACUUGGUGUAAUUGUUUUGGAAGAAGGAGCACUUAUUUCUUCAAGUUGACAACUUGUUCAAGUGAAGGAGUUGUAGAAAAAGGUAAGAAUCAAUUUCUUUUUCUUAUGUUAUGAAGGUUUGUUUAUGUUGUGGUAUGUGGAAAUGAGUAGAAAUUAUGGAAAUAAGGAAGUUUGCAAAGUGGGUAUGUAUAUAUAUAUGUAGCCAUGAGUGUAUAUAUGUUGUAUACAUAUAUGAGUUGAAUUUUAUGUUGUAUUAGUUGUGGUUAUGGUGAAAAUUAUAUUGGGAAUGAAAGUUGAAUGAAUUUUGGUUGAAGUUGGAAUGUAGAAGAUUAUGUCACUUUAGAAUGAUUUUGUGAUAUUAUGGAAAUGAAGUUGUUAAGAUGUGAAUUAUGAUUAUGGUUGAUGAAAUUGGAAGAUGGAAAUAUGUUAUGAAUAUGUAGGUUGAAGAUUUGAAGUUUUGGGUGAAUUAUGUUUUGGUGGAAAGUUUGUAUAUUUUGUAUAUCUUGUGAAUAUUUCGUAGAAAUGAUAUGAAAUAUUUCCAAAUUAUAUUGUGAUGAUCUAGAUUAAUGAUGAAUGUGAAACCAUUGAGAUUAGUUUGGAAAUUGAAGUUGAAAUGAAGGUUAUGACAUUAUGUUGGAAAGAUAGCUAGUUAAGUUAUAUUGUGUUUAUAGUGAUUGUUGUUGUUGUUGAUGUUGUUGUUGGGUUGUUGUUGAUUGUUUUGGCCGAGUUAAAUUCUCGGGGAUGCUAUAUGUAUAGGGGAGAUGCUGCCCAAAUUUCUGUAGGCAAUUAUGAAUAAAGAUUGAAUACUUAAAGAUUGGAAAUUGAGAAUUGGUAAAUGUGACCAAUUGCAGAUUUUGGGCGAAACGGGAAUUGAAUUUGGAAAGGCGUAAAGAGCAUAUAAGGUACCGACGACAGGUUUGCUGAUCCGUCCGCUUAGGAUCUUAUUCUGCUAUUUUGGAGCGCUCCUUUAUCCGGAGCCUAUAUUUUGGUACAAUCUUCUGCUAUUGUAUAUAUGUACGCUAUUCAGGGGUACGACGGGGCCCUGUCCCAUCUUAUGAUUCUGUUAUGUUCUGUAGAGGUCUGUAGACAGACUUGUGUGGGUUCUGUAUAUGUUUUGGGUUGUUAUGAUCGGUGAUGGCCUUAUCGGCCUCUACGUGCAAAAUCUGUUCAUCUGUGAUAUUUAGUAGCGCCAACUAACCUUUAUAUUAAUAUAUUUUGAUAA